UGGGUAACUUGUGAAACUUCAUCGUGAUGGGGAUAGAGCAUUGCAAUUAUUGCUCUUCAACGAGGAAUCCCUAGUAAGCGUGAGUCAUCAGCUCACGUUGAUUACGUCCCUGCCCUUUGUACACACCGCCCGUCGCUACUACCGAUUGAAUGGCUUAGUGAGACCCUCGGAUCGACUCAUGGAAACCUUCACGGGUAUCUAUUUGUUGAAAAGUUGGUCAAACUUGGUCAUUUAGAGGAAGUAAAAGUCGUAACAAGGUAGCCGUAGGUGAACCUGCGGAAGGAUCAUU
rnacentral:rRNA from 1 species